UACGGAGGAUCCGAGCGUUAUCCGGAUUUAUUGGGUUUAAAGGGUGCGCAGGCGGGAGAUUAAGUCGGCGGUGAAAUUUUGCAGCUCAACUGUAAAAGUGCCUUCGAAACUGGUUUCCUUGAGUGUAGAUGAAGUAGGCGGAAUUUGUGGUGUAGCGGUGAAAUGCUUAGAUAUCACGAGGAACUCCGAUUGCGCAGGCAGCUUACUAAACUACUACUGACGCUCAUGCACGAAGGCGUGGGGAUCAAACAGGAUUAGAUACCCCGGUAGU
rnacentral:rRNA from 1 species